UACGUAGGGGGCAAGCGUUGUCCGGAUUUAUUGGGCGUAAAGAGCGUGUAGGCGGCUUUACAGGUCCGUUGUGAAAACUCGAGGCUCAACCUCGAGACGCCGGUGGAAACCGUAAAGCUAGAGUCCGGAAGAGGAGAGUGGAAUUCCUGGUGUAGCGGUGAAAUGCGCAGAUAUCAGGAAGAACACCAAUGGCGAAGGCAGCUCGCUGGGACGGUACUGACGCUGAGACGCGAAAGCGUGGGGAGCAAACAGG
rnacentral:rRNA from 1 species